rnacentral:rRNA from 1 species
UACGUAGGGUGCAAGCGUUGUCCGGAAUCAUUGGGCGUAAAGAGCGUGUAGGCGGCUCGAUCAGUCCGCUGUAAAAGUCCAGGGCUCAACCCUGGGAUGCCGGUGGAUACUGUCGAGCUAGAGUCCGGAAGAGGCGAGUGGAAUUCCUGGUGUAGCGGUGAAAUGCGCAGAUAUCAGGAGGAACACCGGUGGCGAAGGCGGUUCUCUGGGCCUGUGCUGACGCUGAGGAGCGAAAGCGUGGGGAGCGAACAGA